AUUGAACGCUAGCGGGAUGCCUUACACAUACAAGUCGAACAGCAGCACGGACUUCGGUCUGGUGGCGAGUGGCGAACGGGUGAGUAAUGUAUCGGAACGUGCCCAGUAGCGGGGGAUAACUACGCGAAAGCGUAGCUAAUACCGCAUACGCCCUACGGGGGAAAGCAGGGGAUCGCAAGACCUUGCACUAUUGGAGCGGCCGAUAUCGGAUUAGCUAGUUGGUGGGGUAACGGCUCACCAAGGCGACGAUCCGUAGCUGGUUUGAGAGGACGACCAGCCACACUGGGACUGAGACACGGCCCAGACUCCUACGGGAGGCAGCAGUGGGGAAUUUUGGACAAUGGGGGAAACCCUGAUCCAGCCAUCCCGCGUGUGCGAUGAAGGCCUUCGGGUUGUAAAGCACUUUUGGCAGGAAAGAAACGUCAUGGGUUAAUACCCCGUAAACUGACGGUACC
rnacentral:rRNA from 1 species